rnacentral:rRNA from 1 species
UACGUAGGGUGCGAGCGUUGUCCGGAUUUAUUGGGCGUAAAGAGCUCGUAGGCGGCUUGUUGCGUCCGCUGUGAAAUCCCGGGGCUUAACCCCGGGCGUGCAGUGGAUACGGGCAGGCUAGAGGCAGGCAGGGGAGAACGGAAUUCCUGGUGUAGCGGUGAAAUGCGCAGAUAUCAGGAAGAACACCCGUGGCGAAGGCGGCUCUCUGGUACGUGACUGACGCUGAGACGCGAAAGCGUGGGGAGCGAACAGG